rnacentral:rRNA from 1 species
UUGCUUAGAGUUUGAUCCUGGCUCAGAACGAACGCUGGCGGCGUGCUUUACACAUGCAAGUCGAGCGAGGCGUGGGGCAACCCACAGUCGAGCGGCGAACGGGUGAGUAACGCGUGGAUGACCUGCCCUUUAGUGGGGAAUAACCCGGGGAAACUCGGGCUAAUACCGCAUAAGACCGAGAGGUGAAAGCGGGCUCGCAAGGGCUCGUGCUGAAGGAGGGGUCCGCGUCCGAUUAGCUGGUUGGUGGGGUAAUGGCCUACCAAGGCGACGAUCGGUAGCCGGCCUGAGAGGGUGAUCGGCCACACUGGAACUGAGACACGGUCCAGACUCCUACGGGAGGCAGCAGUGGGGAAUUUUGCGCAAUGGGCGAGAGCCUGACGCAGCAACGCCGCGUGGAGGAUGAAGGUCUUUGGAUUGUAAACUCCUGUCA